UACGAAGGGGGCUAGCGUUGUUCGGAAUUACUGGGCGUAAAGCGCGCGCAGGCGGCCCGCGAGGUGUCACGUGAAAGCCCCGGGCUCAACCCGGGAGGGUCGUGGCAAACCGGCGGGCUUGAGGCCGGUAGAGGUGGGUGGAACUCCUGGUGGAGUGGUGAAAUGCGUAGAGAUCAGGAAGAACACCCGUGGCGAAGGCGGCCCACUGGGCCGGUACUGACGCUGAGGCGCGAAGGCGUGGGGAGCGAACGGG
rnacentral:rRNA from 1 species